rnacentral:misc_RNA from 1 species
AAACUGCGAUAAGUAGUGUGAAUUGCAUUUAGUGAAUCAUCGAAUCUUUGAACGCACAUUGCGCCCUCUGGCAUUCCGGGGGGCAUGCCUGUCCGAGCGUCAUUACGCACCCUCAAGCCCGGCUUGUGUGAUGGGCCCUGGCGUCUCGUUCGCGAGACGGGCCCGAAAGGCAGCGGCGGCGUCGACCCGAUGAGCCCGAGCGUAUGGGGACUUUUGUCACACGUUUGCGGUGCGGACCGGCGCCUGCUUGACUUUUCUGAUUAUCCAGGUUGACCUCGGAUCAGGUAGGGAUACCCGCUGAACUUAAGC